GCAUAUCAAUAAGCGGAGGAAAAGAAACCAACAGGGAUUGCCUCAGUAACGGCGAGUGAAGCGGCAACAGCUCAAAUUUGAAAUCUGGCCUCACGGUCCGAGUUGUAAUUUGUAGAGGAUGCUUCGAGCAUGGUCUGGCCUAAGUUCCUUGGAACAGGACGUCAUAGAGGGUGAGAAUCCCGUAUGCGGCCAGGUGCCUACGCUCAUGUGAAGCUCCUUCGACGAGUCGAGUUGUUUGGGAAUGCAGCUCAAAAUGGGUGGUAAAUUUCAUCUAAAGCUAAAUAUUGGCCAGAGACCGAUAGCGCACAAGUAGAGUGAUCGAAAGAUGAAAAGCACUUUGGAAAGAGAGUUAAACAGUACGUGAAAUUGUUGAAAGGGAAGCGCUUGCAACCAGACUUGCGCGCGGCCGAUCAUCCGGUGUUCUCACCGGUGCACUCGGUCGCGCUCAGGCCAGCAUCGGUUUCGGUGGUUGGAUAAAGGCCCUAGGAAUGUAGCUUCUCUCGGGGAGUGUUAUAGCCUAGGGUGCAAUGCAGCCCACCGGGACCGAGGACCGCGCUUCGGCUAGGAUGCUGGCGUAAUGGUUGUAAGCGACCCGUCUUGAAACACGGACCAAGGAGUCUAACAUCUAUGCGAGUGUUUGGGUGUCAAACCCAUACGCGUAAUGAAAGUGAACGGAGGUGAGAACCCUUAAGGGUGCAUCAUCGACCGAUCCUGAUGUCUUCGGAUGGAUUUGAGUAAGAGCAUGGCUGUUGGGACCCGAAAGAUGGUGAACUAUGCCUGAAUAGGGUGAAGCCAGAGGAAACUCUGGUGGAGGCUCGCAGCGGUUCUGACGUGCAAAUCGAUCGUCAAAUUUGGGCAUAGGGGCGAAAGACUAAUCGAACCAUCUAGUAGCUGGUUCCUGCCGAAGU
rnacentral:rRNA from 1 species